rnacentral:misc_RNA from 1 species
AAGUCGUAACAAGGUCUCCGUAGGUGAACCUGCGGAGGGAUCAUUAAAGAGUUGAGGGUCCUCGUGGCCCGAACCUCCUAACCCGUGCUUACGUACCUCUGUUGCUUUGGCAGGCCGUGGACCCUUGGUCCCCGUAUGCUCCGGCUGCUUCGGCUGCCCGGGGUACGGCGUGUGCUUGUCAGAAGCCAACCUUAAAACCUUAUUCUAACUUCAUGUCGUCUGAGAUAUAUAAUAAAUAGCUCAAAA